AUAUAUAUGUACAGUUUUACGUAUACGCAAUAUUAUUGUAUAUAUGUAUCGCAAUCGUCGCAAUCGUAUGUAAUAAUAACAAUUAUUACCGUCCGCCGUCGGUGUAUUGUUUUGAGUUAUUGCGCAAGCUACAUCGACAAUAUAUAUAUUAUGGUUAACAAAAGUCCGAUAAGAUAGAUUAUUUUCUCUCUAUAAUCCCAAUGAUAACUGCAGCAGUCAUCUGAAAAUGACUCACUGCAACGUCUCUCCUUUUAAUAUUUUUGGUUUCCUUUUAAUUCAUCUUUAUUCCAAUUGGAGUAAAUUUUAAAAAUUGUCAAUUAUGUUUCAAAAUUUUAGAGAUAUUUGUUAAAAGAUUAUCAAUUGUUAAUUGCAAAACCAUACAGAGAGGAGAGUAUUCAUUCAAAGACAGUUAAAAGAAAGAUAAUUCCGAAUUAAGAUAUAAAAUGCAUUUUGACUCCUAAAAGAGAGUUUUUUCUUUUGCCAAUAGAGAUCGAGUGAAUAUGCGAGAUAGAAAACUAGUACAUACAUUAUAACAAAUGAUAUGAUAUUAAGAUAUGGUUUGUCUCUUAUCAUUAAUUAACUAAUGACAAUUUCCGUCAUUAUUUAAUUGAUGAUUCCUAUUAUUUAAUUUAAUUAGUCGCUUGCUUAACGAUUGCUAAUGCAAUUAUUUUUCUCUGCUUAGGCUUACUAAUAGAUAACUCGAGAAAACGAAAUUCUACUAUACUUAUUGUCCACAUUACAUUUGUACGUUUUAGGCGAAUACUCCACAACCGAUUAGUCAUUAAUUCAUUAACUCUCUGCACUAGAAUGUUUUAUUUCAACAUGAAGUUAUAAAAUCUCAUUAAUUAUCUAAACAUUCAGUAAUAUGAGAAAUUAAAAUUUAUAUUGUCAUUGUUACAAGAAAUUUAACCGUGAAAUUAUAAUAAUGCUUGCUUUAUAAAUGAAUAUAAUGAUUGUUUAUUUAUUUAUUAGUUUAACAUGGAAAAUUAUUCAAAGUGCAAAGAGUUAAGAGUUUAAAAUAUCACUAGAAGAUAUCAGGCCAUUUGAGUAUUUUCGCAAAGGAGUGCGAACAGGAAGUUCCAUGGAAUAUUCAAAUUCGACCUAGUCCUGGCUUCUUUCAUUGAAAUAUAAUAGUUUACUUUUAUAUAUAUAUACACUAUAAGUGUAUAUAUUACAUAUAUAUAAUCUAUUUUUUCAUAAUAUACUUUGUCACAGGUCGACUUUGAUGCAUAACAGAGUUAAAAUCAAAAUAAUAAUUGACCUACGUGGAACUAAUCGUUAAUUGUUUAACCUACGUGGCCUGGAUGAUGAUUAUUUCUCCUCGCCCGACGAAACCAGUUUCAUCGGGUCAAAUUGCCUUUUCGUUAUCCAGGCAUCUUGAAAUGCACACCGCAUGCUGCGCAACGUUAAUGUUAUUGUCAAGCAUAAUUUAGUCCAAUUAUUUUAUUGUCAUUUUUAAUUUUAGUCUUUUUAUGCUAAAUUCAUUAUUGUCACGUCAUUAAUCCGUAUAAUCAACCGUGGAUUCCUGGAUCCUUAGAUCUUUGGGAGGAUCUCAUUUUCUCGAACAAUUAAUUUUAUAUACCUGUGAAUUUUUAGAUCUCUACAGAUCCUUGUUUGUUUUUAAAUACUUGAUGGAUACUUUUUUUAUUUGUGUUGUUCCUGAAUCUUUAAGUGCUUGAUAUCAUUAAAUCUUUAGAUCCAUCGAUUCUCAAAGUAUUUUCGAAUCUUCAAAUAUCCAUAGAUCUAAGGACCCAAAUACUUUGAUCCAAGACUAUCUACCUAGAAUAAUGUUUCGGGUACAGUCACCCAAGUCCACUGGACGGCUCCUACCGCUAAUCUUAAAUCUGAUGUUAUUCGCAAUCGCUAAAGAGUAAAUGUUUCAUUGUUAACUUGUAUAACAGGUAAUUUUUCGCACGGAAAGAUCACCUAUCGUUUCCGUCCACACGAUGCGCGAUUGUGUCGUUUGCUCGAAAACGUAUAUAUAGAUUGUUGUUUAAUAUUCUUCAUUAUCUGCGAAGUUUCGAAAGCUAUUUCGCAUUGUUAUAAUGUCACUUAAAUUCGAACAAAAUUGUAAACGGUUACAUCUUUCAGACGGAAAUACAUUCAAGAAUGUUCUCAAAGAAAUUUCCACUUACAUCAAUGUUAUCGGAUAUUUAGAUUCCAGAAAAAGCUUAUCCUUUACAGAUUUAUUACAGAUUUAAUAACAGAUUUUAAAAUACUAUGAAAGGAAAGUUGAAUUUGACAUCUAAUAAGUGUUAAAUUUAACAUCUAAGAACUUUUGAUUGAAAAAAAUAUUUUUUCUACUCGAAUAUAUCUCCGUCUUUAUAUUAUGAAGAAACAAUUCCUACCGCCGAAGCUUUUCUGUUAAUUGACACAAUAGACAAGAUCCUACCACGCGGAUGCGCUGACUACAAUUCGACCAGGUUCACCAAAAAUGGAUUGCAGCCACUUUUGCUCAAGCAGCAAGCAGUCGAAGAUGGUCGUCACAGAAUAAAGUAAAGCGUUUCUCGAAGCGAGAUCAUCCACGGAAACGCGCGUCGCGAUCAAAGAUCGAUCCUAGGUAAGAUCCUCAUCCUCAUCGUCGCUACCCGGACCGCCCGUAGGACAGCAUAGUCCUUCCGAACCGUCACUCCUGAUGCAAAACAGCAGCGUCUCGGCUGCCGUUACUUCGUGCGGGACAAUUCCAUGAAAUUCUUUUAGAUCCGCUGCAGGAAACCAGGCCUUUUCGUUGUCAUCGAUGAUGAGGAUUCCAUAAUAUCUGGAAAAAAAUAAUCAAGGAUUUGUCAGAUGCGCAUAAAACAAGAUACAUGAUUUUUCAUAACUAAUUUCAUAAUUGAGAUCAAUGCCAACCUGCAUAUAGCGACUGCGGGUAUCCACAAGACGGAGGUGAGAAUAAGAAUGGCGAUGAGAACUAGAGCCCAGACAGGCCACUCAUGUCUCUCUGUGACGCCUUUACUCGACACCCAGGCCGGAUAGCCGCUUCCUUCAAAAAAUAUCUCGACGAAGGACGCGAUCAGGAUGCUCAGCAUCGCCAGUGGACUGAGAUACUUCCAACAUAUCAACCAAUAGAGACCCGGCCGAUUGCCGGUCAUCAGUUCGAUAUCGUCGGCAAAUCUGAAAUUAUCGCAACGCACAUCGCAAUACAUACAUCUCUAAUCUGAAAUCUUGAAGGCUCAAGAAUGUUUCUACACUUACCUCUUCAAACCGUAGACAUACGACACUCCUAUACAUUCGAAGAAAGCAAUUAUAAGCAACGGAAAGUUUCCGCUAAAGCUGUCGAACAGCACGAAGACAUAACUACCAGCUCCAUGAGCGAAGGCCAUCGAGAUCGUGCAGCACACCAAACAAAUUGCACCUGCGUACGAAAUCGAGUUUAUUCUUAUCCGUAACUUAUUUUUUCAAAUUAGAAUUUCUUCUUAUUUAUCGCUGAAAUUCAAAUUACCUGUCAGAAUUUCUUUUCUUAAAUUUGGGAAGAGCUUCAUAUCAACGAUACUGGUGACGACACCCUCCAGAGUACCAAAUUGAGAAUCGAUUCCUAGUGUGAACAACAUCAAGAAGAAUAAUACUGACCAGAAUUGAGCGCCGGGAAACUGAUUGAUCGCUUCGGUGAAAAUGAUGAAAGCCAAACCUGUGCCUGCUGCCGACUAUCGCACUCGGGUAGUUCUGGCAUUAUCAAGUUGCCCAGUGAUCCGUUGCCGUUCGUGAUGUUCAACAGGGUGCCGCUGAUCGGAAUAUCCUCGGAUUAAAAAAGAAAAUAUUGGAGGAAAAGUUUGCCUAUAAUAGUACCUAUAAUCGAAAAGACGACGAUUCCCGCGAACAUAGAAGUGAAGCAAUUCGUCAAACUAACCAUGAUUGCAUCGCGAUAACAAUUAUUGUUCACCGGAUUGUACGAAGAAAACGCUAUAAGACCACCGAAAGCUAGACCUAAGGAGAAGAAGAUUUGGGUUCCAGCUUCUAACCAGACUACCGGGUCGGUCAACGUGUACCACUGGAAUAGAGAAAUAAAUUGACUGUUAUAUAAAAUAAGUGCGAUUGAAGAUUGUAUGCAAUGUACCUUUGGCGUGAAGAGAUGCCGCAGACCGUCCGACAUACCCGUCAGUGUUACGCCCCGGAAGAAGAAAAUGAUUAGAACGAUGUACGGAAACGUAGCAGUUACGUACACAACCUGAGAGAGGCAGAAUAAUUAAUUUGACGAAGAGGAUGUAUGUGAAAUUAAUAUGAUGACAUUUAAAUACCUUGCCCGAGGAUGCGAUACCCUUAAUCAUACACAUGUAGACGAGGAUCCAGGCAAUGACAAGCGCCAAAGCGAUUUUCCAAUUGAACACUUCCGGCGUAUUGAUAUCCUUGGAUAUCAUCAGGGUGGUUCGAUACCAGAAAUACUGCGUCGGGCUGCUCGCCUAUUGAUCAAUUCUCCAUUUACGAUGGCAAACUUAAUGCGCGAACAAUAAGAUAAUUUAUAUUGCAUCAUUCCAUAAAUUUUAACGUUACCAAACACUCGGGUUCAGAUGAAUGCGAUGAAAUAAAACGUCAAUUAUAGACUUUCUUACCUGAACGAAGUAGAAGAGGCACCAGGCGAUAAUGGUGUUGUAGUAAAGGGCCACGUUAAAGGAGACUACGGCGCUACUGAUUCCAAUACCGCCCAUAUACGGGGAUACCUUUUCGAAACAUUCGAUAGAAAAUUUCAUCAUCAAAAUUUCGACUUUUGGUAUGAUUGAUAAAAUAUAGGAAUACCCUCAAUGGCCAGCAUCACGAAAUAAGGAAUUAGAAAAGCACCUGGUGGACAUUAGAAAGCAUGCUUACAAUUGCACUAGAGAGCAUCUAAAUAAACUUAAGAAGUUUCAACGUACCUCCGCCGUUCUUCUGGGCCAGAUAAGGAAACCGCCAUACGUUUCCAAGGCCCACUGCAUAUCCUACGGUCGCCAGGAGAAAUAUGCACGGGUUCUCGCUGGGGGAUACGGAUGCGAAUCUCAUGAAAUUUUAUACGCGAUCGUGCGAGAGAGAAGAUUCAUUUUUUUAAUUAAAAUAAAUACAUAGAGCUUCGAUGGAUAUGAAAAAAGCUGUCCGUUUUAAUCGAACGAAUAUAUAUGUACGCCCUAGCGCGUACGAGAGUAUUUCACUUCAUUGUACGGAAUUUGCGAUUGACACAGAAAGCCCGGAUUCCUUGAUUUAAGUGCGACAGCUCUAGAAAGUGUCCGUCGACGAAGGGGAGAGAUGCCCGAAAAGAUGCGGUCGUUCAUCGCGCUUCAGCCGCGAACAGAAACCGAUGUAGCGAAAUCCUUACCGACCUGCCGGGACCAAAGGAGGAAACGCGCGAGGACCUUGUCCGCGGUCGAAGAGCGGUUCGCCACUGGUGACACCCCAGUGUUAGGUGCUGGUGAUAGUAACUUUUGAAAUCACGGUAUUUCAAGAGAAUCAAUAGCUGGCGCCGGCGCCCCAAACUCCUCUCUUUCGGCAACUCGAUUCUCUUGCGAAAUCACGUGCGAGUCCUUUGCUUUUCGAAAGAAAAAAGAAAACGAACGGUAGAUUAUGAUUUAACGUUAUCUUGGAAUUUAAAGGAUUUUAUCAAAAAACUUUGUAAAAUAUAUAAAAAAAAUUAUACUGUUACAUAGAGAUGCAAUAAAUUGCAACGAAAAGAGAAUGUUUUAGGAUAAUAAUGUAUUGAUAAUUGUGUGUGUGAUUUUAAUUUAAGAAAAAUUAAAAUAUUCAGUAAUAUAAAUUUUCAUUAUCUUCUAUAUAUGGAAUAAUUAAUGGGCUUGUUUUUUGUAAAAAAAUAUUUAUUAUAAAAAUAAUCCUAUACAAAGUAUGUAUCAUAAACACCAUAAGAAUGUAAAAUAUUCUUCUUUAACUUUUUAUGCUUCUCUACAGUUUUAUUCAUAUAUUUUUGUUUUCUUAACGAAGAGUCUCCUUAGCUAGGAAUUUCGUAAAAGCGAGUAUCUCUGAAACAUAUACAAUCUUUAUUAAGACUUUCUGCAUGUUAUAUUUAAAUAAUUGGAAUGGAAUGUUUAAGCAAAAAACGGAAUUAUACUAACGAUCGAAUAAACUAAUAUAUUCUACUCA